CAAGUCGAGCGGUAGAGAGGUGCUUGCACCUCUUGAGAGCGGCGGACGGGUGAGUAAUGCCUAGGAAUCUGCCUGGUAGUGGGGGAUAACGUUCGGAAACGGACGCUAAUACCGCAUACGUCCUACGGGAGAAAGCAGGGGACCUUCGGGCCUUGCGCUAUCAGAUGAGCCUAGGUCGGAUUAGCUAGUUGGUGAGGUAAUGGCUCACCAAGGCGACGAUCCGUAACUGGUCUGAGAGGAUGAUCAGUCACACUGGAACUGAGACACGGUCCAGACUCCUACGGGAGGCAGCAGUGGGGAAUAUUGGACAAUGGGCGAAAGCCUGAUCCAGCCAUGCCGCGUGUGUGAAGAAGGUCUUCGGAUUGUAAAGCACUUUAAGUUGGGAGGAAGGGUACUUACCUAAUACGUGAGUAUUUUGACGUUACCGACAGAAUAAGCACCGGCUAACUCUGUGCCAGCAGCCGCGGUAAUACAGAGGGUGCAAGCGUUAAUCGGAAUUACUGGGCGUAAAGCGCGCGUAGGUGGUUUGUUAAGUUGGAUGUGAAAGCCCCGGGCUCAACCUGGGAACUGCAUUCAAAACUGACAAGCUAGAGUAUGGUAGAGGGUGGUGGAAUUUCCUGUGUAGCGGUGAAAUGCGUAGAUAUAGGAAGGAACACCAGUGGCGAAGGCGACCACCUGGACUGAUACUGACACUGAGGUGCGAAAGCGUGGGGAGCAAACAGGAUUAGAUACCCUGGUAGUCCACGCCGUAAACGAUGUCAACUAGCCGUUGGGAGCCUUGAGCUCUUAGUGGCGCAGCUAACGCAUUAAGUUGACCGCCUGGGGAGUACGGCCGCAAGGUUAAAACUCAAAUGAAUUGACGGGGGCCC
rnacentral:rRNA from 1 species